rnacentral:lncRNA from 1 species
GACAUACACCCUAAGAUAGAGACCCAAGAAUAACAAAAAAAGAAGCUUCCCUUCAAAAAAGGAAGCUUCAGCGCCGUUACACUGAUUCUUCUUCUUCUCAUUGUCACUGAACAAUCAGACAUUCCCCAUUUUUGGAGAAGACCUAGAGCUAAAUCCAAAAAAAAAAAGCUUUCCCCUUCCAAAAAGGCACAGCGCCAUUUACCCCCAAAACGGAUCUCUCUCUCUCUCAAGAAGCUAAGAACAAAAAUUCGAGUUUGAUAUCUGGAAUUCUCAGCUUUGGGAUUCGAAGGAAAAACACAAAAAAAUUGGUUCUGAAAAGUGAAUUCGUUGCUGCUGAUUCAAGGAGUUUUUCUUUACUAGUUUCUGGGUUUCAAUUUGGUUUUCUGACUGAGAAUCGAAGCCGAGUGCUGCUGUUCCGUCACUAGCUGAAUUCCAUAGUUGUCUAGCUGUUAUUUUUGUAUUCUUCUGAAAUUUAAGGUACGAGCCAGCUUUUAAUUAAUGUAAUCUCCAUACAAUUUAUAUAAACCAUGAAUUUUAACAUAUGUUUUGUUACUAUAAAUGUGAAUUUGUCCCUUCUUGCUCCAUUAAAUUCAUGUUACUGUUGUUGUUGUUGAGCCAUGAAGUAUUUGAUGAGAGUACUAAGGAACUAGAUUCAUGGAUUAAUAUUAGACUUUACUGAUCUUGUAGUUAAGAAACUUGGUGAAUGUUAGUUCUGGAAAUUGUAAAUGAUGACGAUGUUAUGUAUUUGAUUAUUCUUUGAAAUCUCGAAUCAAGAAAGAAGACUCUAAUUUAAUGUGGGUGUAUUUAAAGCUGUUGCACUUCUCUCACCUCUAUAGGAAAUUGUGAAGUUCAUUGCUUCGACCUAUGUCAGCUGAUGACCAAUAUAACUCAAUGUGCUCCUGUCUCUAGCUUUUAUUGUUUAAGGGUCCUAAUGUCACGAUAUUCAAUAUUCAUAAAGCUACUGGAUUUUUGUUGUUCAUGAUAUACUACUUGUUUGUAUUGUGUUUUAUCUUCAAUUUAUUGCCUUUAGGUUUCUGUUCUAGGAAUUUGGUGCCACAAUCUGUUCUUAAAUGCUUGGACAAUUCCAUAUAAUAAAAAAAUGAAAAUUAAUAUGAUUUCCCACAAUUCCAACUUCCAUAAACCAUGACCUUUAGAACUGUCCCAAAAUUAAGCUCAAUGAACAAUUCUCGAACAUUUGUAGUUUGUUGUAGUUAAAUACAAUUUCUUUAAAGAGAAAAUGGACUGAGGUGUGCCAUCCAUAAUACUUAGAUAUUAAAAAUGAAUCUUCGUAGUUUGCUUUAGGCACGCUACAAUAAAUUAUCAUGGCUACGGGUAUGGUUCUCGUGACGUAGUUGUGAUUUUUAAUUGCUAAAAUUUAGGUGUACAUUUCAUGUGACCCGACUUCAAUUUCCAAUAUUGUUAAAUAAAAAAUAAAUAUGUCGUGAACCGCGGGUGCAUUUCAUGUAGCGUGGUUUAUGAUGUGUUUUCAAAAAUAAACAAGUGUAUGGCGAUCAUGAAUUUUCCUCAAAAUAUUAAAAGCGGUUAGAAAGUUAAAAAAGCACAAUAGGUUUAAAACAGGUAAUGAAUCAGAUAAUUAGGCCAAUUUUAAUAGUUUAAGCGACCGUACUCGAAUCACGGAAUCCGGGAAUGCCUAACACCUUCUCCCGGGUUAACAUAAUUCCUUAUCUAGAAUUUUUGGUUCACAGACAUUUAAAUAAAGCCAAAUUUCCUCGACUAGGGAUUUUAAAAUAAACCGGUGACUUGAGACACCAUAAAUUAUUCCAAGUGGCGACUCUGAAAAAUUAAAUAAAAUAAUUUCAUUUCGAAUUAUGUCACUUUAAUUGGAAAAACUCCCUUAUAUACCCCUCUCGGGGUAGAAAAAGGAGGUGCGACAGCUCUGGCGACUCUGUUGGGGAUUAUAACCCAGAACUUUUGGUUCAGGGUUCAAGAAUUCGAGCUUAGAAUAACUGUUAUAAUUGGCUUUUACUUAUUAUCUGAUUUUUAUUGCAUGUUUGGGCCUAAUAUGUUAAAUGUCGCUUUUACCACUUUGAUAUUAUUUGAAUUGUGUAUAAACUGUUACGAAACCCUUUUAUUCUCAUCGUCGGGGAUGUGCACGCUGGCGUGACUCCUCUUUCUGUUUGUGCCAUACUUUAAAUUAGAAAGAGGCUCGGACAAGUUACAAAGACGGAUGGCCUUUUGGUUCCCGGUACGUAGCCCCCUCCCCCUCGGCUUGAGUUGUCCACUCGGGUGCACCAAGUCUAGAACAAUAUACUCAAGUUUUAAAACCUAAAAUAACUCAGCCUCAUACUGGAUCCCUAGUAGGAACGUUUGUUUGUAUUCUGUGCAUUUGAAUUUGGAUAUUCAGCACAGGGGUUGAGUCCGUUUGGGACAGGUGGACCCCAGAAUCAAAAGACCAUCAUGAUGCAUUUUACGUGCUACUUGUGCACCUGCUUGUUUUGGCUUGCAUGUUGACUGGCUUCUAGAAUAAUGAAAGAAAAAAAAAAGAGAAAGAAAAUAAAAAAUAAAAAAAGAGAUGAGAGGUAGGUAUUUAGAAAAUUCUGAAACUCUGCCGAAAUUCUGGAAAAAAAAAAAAAGUCAUUUCAAAAUGAGCUAAAAUUUUAAAGUGUCAUGUUUACCUUGUUCCGUCAAAAUUGAUCGAACUAUGCGGGUCUGAUUCUCACCGGAUGUGAGAUACGUAAGCAAACCUUAUCGGUUCCGAGCCCAAUUUUCAAAAAUCUAAAAAUAUUUUCCUUUAGAAAUAUUUCCUUAGAAAAUUCAAAACAAAAAAGGAAGUUUUAAAACUCAAAAAAAAAGUAGUUUCCUUCUAUCUGGAGUAUUUCAUACAGGUUUUCUUUGCUUUGAAUUAUUUUUCCAAAAAAAAUAAAAAAAAAGAAUAAAAAAAGAAAAUAUUCUUUUCUUUUUUUAAAAGUAUUUCUUUCGUAAAUGUCAACAAAAAAAAUUUGACAAAAUUAUAGUCCAAAAAUAUUUUUGCUUUUCUUUAGAAGUACUUUUGUAAAUAAAUAAAAAACUCAAAAAUCCUAAAUAUUUUCUUAAAAGUCUCUCUUUCGAAAAUUAAGAGGCAACAUCCAAAAUCCAAAAAUAUUUUCUUUCUUCUUUAGAAAAAGAGACAAAUGAAAAUUCAAACAAAAAUAUUUUUUUUACUUUAAAAUUCCCAAAAUUCAAAUCAAAAGCAAAUGAAUUUUUUGAAGUCUUUUUUUCAAAAUCAAAAAAUCGAAAAAAUAUUUCCUUUCUUCUUUUAAAGCAUUUCUUUCAAAAAUUCCAACAAAAACAAAGUUAGUUUAUUUACUCCAUUUUCGAUCUUCCUGAACUACGCAAGAUCUGAUUCAUGCGGCGUCAUGAUACGUAGGCAAUCCUCAUCAGAUUCGAUCAUAGCCAUAAAAUUAACUGAGUGAAAAAUAAACUGAAAAAAAGAGAGAAAAAUUGAGUGAAAAAAAAUAGAGUGAAAAAAAAUAAAAGAGCGACAAAAACGAAAAAAAUCAAGAGUGAUUAAGAGGCAGAAAUUAAAGAAAAGGGGUACAUACUGAAAGGGUUAACUAAGGCCGGGAUGAAACAUGCAACCGUUCAAACACAUGGUAGAAACGUUUAACUGUUUAGGUGCAUUGCAUCCAAACGUGUGAUUUCCUAUCUGUUAAGCGUCUACAAAACUAACAAGGUUGUUGGAUGUGUAAACUAGCCAGGUUUUGGUGGUUGGUUUUGUUGGUAGUCUAGCCUCCCCUCCUUCACAAGAUCCAAAGGUACAGAUGGCCUUGCAAGCAAUCUACCUAUCAUCGGUCUUGAGGAUAGCCCGGCAUCGGCUAUUCUGCAGCUAGAAUCAUCAGUUGCUGAAGAGAAUAAGACUCCAAUAUUGUUCUCUACAGCACCAGUCUGCACCAGAACACAACCAACUUUACCACGGUCGUAUGUUGAGCCUCCAAUGUUCACCUUUCAGCGUCCACAACUUCAAUCAGAAAUAACAUAUGCGACCUCGUACUCUUUCAUUCAACCUCCGCAAUAUGAUCUCUCGGGGGAGCAAGAAAAGGUUAUUAAAAAUCCUGAGCAAGAGGAAAUGACUCGGAAGAUGAAGAGACUGGAACAAAGCUUGAAAAACAUGCAAGGUCUGAGUGGUCAGAAGAGUCUCAUCCUCUGACAUCUGUAUGUUUCCCCAUGUCCACUGCCAGCUGGCUUCAAGAUGCCAAAAUUCGAAAAGUACAAUGGGCACGGAGACCCGGUCUCUCAUCUGAAAUGAUAUUGUAACCAGUUGAGGGGUGCUGGUGGAAAAGAGGAGUUACUAAUGGCCUAUUUUGGGGAAAGCCUCACCGGAAUCGCUUCUGAGUGGUAUACGGAUCAAGAAAUUACCCAUUGGCAUGUGUAGGACGAUAUGGCCCGAGUUUUUGUUCGCCAGUUCCAGUAUAAUGUAGACAUCGCUCCCGACAGAAACCCUUUGUCCAAUUUGAAAAAGAAAAUCACGGAAAGCUUCCGCGAAUAUGCUGUCAAAUGGUGUGAGCAAGCUACCAGGAAAAAGUCGUCAAUGGAUGAAAUUGAAAUGGUCACGGUCUUUCUAUAGGCCCAAGAGGCGGACUACUUCCAGAACAUGAUGUCCGCUAUGGGAAAGUCGUUUGCCGAGGCUAUCAAAAUUGGGGAGAUAGUAGGAAAUGGGCUAAAAACGGGUCAAAUCUUGAGUCAUGCUGCUUUUAAAACCACAUCACCAGAUGUUCAAAAUGGUUCAGAGGAUUUGAUAAAUGGAAACGGGAGAGAAGAAGGAGCCAUGAUGGUUUCGAGCUCGAGGGGGACCCACAGGUCAUCUAGCCGAUCAUAUAUGCUUCCUAAGGUCCCUCAACAUUAUUAUCCUCUUCAAGAUGCUGCUUAUGCUAUGGCACCACCUCCUUAUACAGUGAUGAAUGCGCAACCUUACACGCGGCAAAAACAUCAUACACAAAAUCGAGCCCCACCUUCCAUAAAUGCCCAUCCUUACCAAACUCCAUAUAAUCCCCAACCAAAUGUUCCCCAGUACAAUCCUCGCCCAAGAGAGACUUUCAGGAAGAAUCAGUUCAUCCCUAUUGGUGAAUCAUAUUCAAGCUUGUUUCAAAAGCUAAUCAAGGUAGAUCUAUUGCAGCCAGUGGCCCCGAACCGGCUGAACCCCGAGUCCCCCUCACACCGAGUUGAUGCUAUAUGUGAAUACCGCUCUGGAGCAGUGGGACACAGUAUAGAGGAUUGUUGGAUCCUCAAAAGGGUAGUUGAAGAUUAGAUUGAAGCUGAAAGAAUCAUUUUUCGGGAUGAAGAAGCUCCUGAUGUGAUGAACAAUCUGUUGUCUGCCCACAACAUCAGGCCAAUUGUCAGAAUGAUUUUUGAAGCUGAGGAAUUUGAUCCAGCACUGAAGGCCAUUGCAGUCAUUGCCGAAAUAGAAGAAAAGCCGAAAAAUGGUCGCCAAGCUUGAAAGUUACCCAUCAGACAUGAGUCUCGGUAGCCAGUCUUGCUAUCCUUUCUGCGUCCGGAUUAUCUCAUGGUGUGAUCCGAAUGUUUUACUUUAUUGUCUUACUUUCCGAUGUAAACCCUUCUAUCUUCAAAAAUUGAAAAACAAAAAGAAAAAAAAUCAAAAAUCAAAAAAAUCAAAUGAAAUUAAUAUUUCAUUGUCCAAGAAUAUCUCUUUCUUAGUCUUGUCACUUUUAUUAUUUUUCUUUUCAGUUCUGUUAAAUGCAGAUUUCAAUAACACGACAUGCUUGUGGACUUCAUGCCCAGAUCCUGAAAAGCUGUCAGACCUCGAAGUAAUGAAUUAAGAAUUAGAUCGCAAUGAGGAUAAGUUUAAGGAAAUAAAACAAAGAUUUGGAACAGCUGAAGGAAAAUUGGUUUCAGAUUGGAAAGGUCCAUGUAUUGCAACAAGAGAACUACCAAAAAAGUGCGUUGUACUUGGGACACAUCGAAGGAAAUAUCCUUGAAAUAACUGUCAAUGCAAAUGCAGUCAAAGGGUAUUAUGUUGGAUCCUCUAUAUAGCAUUAAUGUUCUCCGGUUGGGAUGAAGAAGACUUUCUUUCUCACUACACAAAUAUUCAACCCUUUGCAAACCCUUUGAGCGGGUUACUUUUCCUUGAUUACCCUCUUUGGAACCUGGAAGUUAUUAUUGGAAAAAAAUGAUGAAUGGAAAAUGAAAAGAGAAGAAAAAAAAGAGGGAAGAAAAGACGGAGAAAAUGAAAUGAAAAAAAAAUGAAUGAAAGGAAAAAGGGAAGGAAAAGAAAAAGAAAACAAAGCAAAACAGAAAAACAAAAGAAAAAAUCAAAAUCAAAUUUCCUAAACUACGUUCGACUUGAUUCUGAAAGGAUACGUAGGCAUCCUCUCUCUGAGGUUUAGUCACACCAAAACAAAAAUCCAAAUUCCCCCAGAAAAAAGUAAAACUGGGGCAGAUGUUGUAAUGGUUCGGCGAUGAUCCCACCGGAAUGGUUCCAAAGUUGUAAUUCGAUCCAAAUUCCUUUUACCCUAAACCCUGUCCAAGUCCUUUCGUUCAAUCAAUGAAGAUGUUCAAGAAUCGGAGAAUGCAGCUAUUUGGACCCGAUACAAUUAAGAUGAGAGAAAUAAAAUGAGAGAGUCUUAUUGGUGAAAACCCACACGAACACUAUAAGGCGAUGGUGAGCAGAGAAACUAAAAUGAGAGAGUCUUAUUAGUGAAAACUUUCAAAGAGCACUAUAAGGCGACGGUAAGAAGAGAAAUGAGAGAGGUCCAUUGGAGAAAACCCGCAAAGGGUGCCAUUGAUCCAAAAAAGGGAAUUCCUUACAACCAUCAGCACUAACAAGGGUCCUGACAAGGUUUCUCAGUUUUGAGAUAUGGAUUUUGAAGGGUUUUCGCGACAUUGGAUGGUUGCUCAGAUCGAGUAUCUAGUCCAAAAAAUAUGUCAAGUCUAUUGAAGUUUGCAUGCACUCCAGAUAAGUCUUUCUUUCCUCCCCAAAAAGGACACUUCUCUUUAAAUUCACUUUCCUGUCCUUUGUUUACUUUUCUUUGAAUUCCUUUCGGUUUAAUUCUUCUCCGACACUAAUACAAAGAAAAGAUGCCAAGAUUGGUUUACAGGGUUCUGCUUGACAAAAUUCGAAUGCAAAGAGAAGCACCCUGUCUCAGCAGGUGCAUCAAGUCGAUCCCGACUGGCCAUGAUGGCCGAUGCUCCGAAGUCAAAAUUAUUAAAAAUGAAAGAAAUCCAAAAUCAAGUGCCCAUAAAGGCAGAAUAAGAUGAAAAGGCUAAAGCCCCACGCGGUUGAACCAUCAUGUGAAAUUUUGGAAAGUCUAGGUCUUUGGUUUUAGAAGAGAGAUUGAUCUCCAAAAAGCCAACAAGCAACAGAUAUGUUCAUCGAAAGAGUUGGGCCGAGAUUAAGUGAUCAAAACAAUCAAGGCCACAAAACCAACCACUGUUUCAAACUAACAAUUGUUUUUUGUUUGAAAAACAUGAAACAGGUGCAAUUCCAAAGUAACCUUGCAAGAAGCAGGUGCAACCAAAAGGAACUGCGCAAGGGCUAGAAACAACUUUGCAGCAACAAUCCAUAAAGGGAAGUCCCCUCCAAAAUUAUUUCCCGCAUUCACUCAUUCUAUGAAAUUAAAAAAAAAAAAGAGGAAGAAACAAAAUGAAAUAAAAGAGAUAAGAAGAAAAGUUCAAAAAAAAUGGUAGCCUAGGGUUCCCAAUCUCUAGUUACAUUUUUCCAACAUAGGAUCUCCGCUCCCUAAUAGAUUUUAUUUUAGACUUAGGUUCUCCACUCCCUAGUCGCUUUUCCAACAUAGGGUCUCCACUCCUUAGUUGAAGUUAUUUUAGACAUAGGGUCUCCACUCCCUAGUCACUUUUCCAACAUAGGGUCUCCACUCCUUAGUUGAAUUUAUUUUAGAUAUAGGAUCUCCACUCCCUAGUCUCUUUUCCAACAUAGAGUCUCCACUCCCUAGUUGAAGUUAUUUUAGACAUAGGGUCUCCACUUCCUAGUCUCUUUUCCAACAUAUGGUCUCCACUCCCUGGUUGAUUUCAUUAUAGAUAUAGGGCUCCACUCCCUAAUCUUAUUUUCUCAAGGAUACACAAUUCUGAUUUUAUUGCUUUCAAUAAAGAAAUAGUUUAGAUUUUUGUUACAAAUAACUCAUGAAGUUUUCCUAGUGAAAACUGAGGAAGAAAAUUUCGUUAGUUUUGUUUGCUUUGGUGCCCGAACAGGUUUUCACCGUGAGGCACAAGGUUUGAGAUGACUAAAAGACAGAGGGUUAGCCCUAAUAAAAGAAAGAAAGACCAAGAAAAGAGGUUGAACUAUAAGUGUAGAAGCGGAGAAAAGAUGCGGACUGCCCAAGAUACGAUUGAAGUCACAAGUUUUGCAUUGUCCUGCCUCUAUCCGAAAAGCUGAAGAAGAAUGAACCAGCGGUUGCAACUAACAAGCAUCAAGAUUCAGAUCAGAGUCUGCAGGAAGAACUGGCCAAGACUCAAGAUCAAGCUUUAGAAGGUUAUAGAUAGGAAUCUUGUAACUCGUAGUUGAUAGGCUUAGCUAGUUUUGCUUUUCAUCUUUCAUUUUGGUAUAAUAAGGAGCUCAGCAAGCUGAAAAAGUAGCAACAGCAGUGAACUCAUAGUUUCCCGGUAGUCCCAGCUAUCAAAACUUCCAGAACUACACUAACCUAAUUCCAUUAUAGCCAAAGAUAUGUAGGCAACCUCCGAA